GCAACGGCUGACCAUGGCUUAACUGGACCGUCCUCGUAAUUUAGGUGCCAUUUUCCUUAAAGUAGCCAACCAUGCGCUUUCUGGAUGUACUGACCUUGCAGAAUUCUGAUGACAUGAGGUGCAUAGUUUCUGUUGUGAAGAUUCUCUUGCCCAAAGGAGGACAAGUUGGUAAUUUUAAAAAGAUUUAUGAGCCUGCGCCUUUGCACUUCGACGACAGUAGAUUCAUUACAACCAUUAGUUUCCUGUGGCGUCGUUAGACCAGCAUCCACUAUGCUCCAUGACUGAUGGAGCAAAACGUGCUGGAGAAAUUUGAUGACAACCACCCUGGGAAAAUUCCUUCUGUGCCUUGGCAGCUAGAGGAUCACUCAGGUCAUGGCUACUUCAGGGUGAUGUGCUCUAUCUCUGUUGGCUCACUCCACCGUAGCAUCCUUUCACCUUCCCUGUUGAUGCUGGACUAACAUUCCAACUGGAGCUACGACUCUUCCAUGAACCAUUUCUUCUUAAAGAGUCAUGAAGACGAAUAAAGAAAUGCUCUUGAUUAAAUGAGGAAGGAAAUAAUAGCGCCCCUGAAGGACCUGAGCUGGACCUUCCUGGCCUGAAGGCUCUGACAGGACAGCUAAAUGGCAGGCAGGAGCUGCACCUCUGCUGUCACACUUCCAGCAAUUGUCACUGUCAAAAUGUAGCACAUUCAUUAUUCAGCGUCAGCCGAGAGGCUGAAGAUUGAAUGGGCUAUAGCGAGUGAAUUAUCCUCUCAUCCUGAGAAGUGGGCCUCCCAGGGCAGAGAUGAAGCAUCCGGCGCGGUGCCUGGCGGGAAGGCGACUGUUGCCCAGGCUCCUGGUGCUGUGUGUGACCAGAGGGCAUCAGUGAGGAGUGUAGCUUGCCAUUUGCUAGAAUGAAUCUGCUUGUGCCCAGCCUCACGGGAACAAAAGGUCACGGAAGCAAAAAGACCUGGGGCUGAGAGAGAAUGUGGGGUACCUAAGGACACUGUCUUCUAGCACCUUUCUGUGACUGGCACAGGCUGGCAGACCAAGCUGCUUCCACUGACCCGCAGAAAAGGCCGGCCUUACCCCGAAUGAACCUCCAGCACGCCAGCCCUCUCUUCGGAAACGAAAAAAGCCAAGGGCUCGCCUGACGACCUACCGUAAAACAACGUUGAACUUGCCACCAUGUUGACUUUUCCCAGUUGAAAAUUAAAGAUCCACUGUAAU
rnacentral:lncRNA from 1 species